rnacentral:rRNA from 1 species
GACCCGUCUUGAAACACGGACCAAGGAGUCUAACAUGUGCGCGAGUUAUUGAGUGGUAAACUCAAAGGCGAAAUAAAAGUAAAGACAGCGCUAGCUGGCUUAAAUAUGAUCCUCGGCUUCGGCUGGGGCGGAGUAUUGUCCCAUCUAAGUGGUUCGUCCACUGGGUGGAGAAAGAGCGCAAAUGUUGGGACCCGAAAGAUGGUGAACUAUGCCUGAGCAGAACGAAGCCAGAGGAAACUCUGGUGGAGGUUCGUAGCGGUUCUGACGUGCAAAUCGAUCGUCAGACUUGGGUAUAGGGGCGAAAGACUAAUCGAACCAUCUAGUAGCUGGUUCCCUCCGAAGUUUCCCUCAGGAUAGCUGGAACUCGAAGUAAUAGUUUUAUCCGGUAAAGCGAAUGAUUAGAGGAUUUGGGGACGAAAUGAUCCUCAACCUAUUCUCAAACUUUAAAUGGGUAAGAAGUCGACCUUUCUAGAUUGAAGGUCGACAUUAGAAUAAACGAGCUCCAAGUGGGCCAUUUUUGGUAAGCAGAACUGGCGCUGUGGGAUGAACCAAACGCUGAGAUAAGGCGCCGGACGUAAAGGCUCAUGAGACCCCAUAAAAGGUGUUGGUUGAUAUAGACAGCAGGACGGUGGCCAUGGAAGUUGGAAACCGCUAAGGAGUGUGU